rnacentral:rRNA from 1 species
CGGCGGACGGGUGAGUAACACGUGGGUAACCUACCUAUAAGACUGGGAUAACUCCGGGAAACCGGGGCUAAUACCGGAUAACACAUGAAACCGCAUGGUUUCAUGAUGAAAGACGGUUUUGCUGUCACUUAUAGAUGGACCCGCGGCGUAUUAGCUAGUUGGUAAGGUAACGGCUUACCAAGGCAACGAUGCAUAGCCGACCUGAGAGGGUGAUCGGCCACACUGGGACUGAGACACGGCCCAG